rnacentral:rRNA from 1 species
CCUACGGGAGGCAGCAGUGAGGAAUAUUGGUCAAUGGACGAGAGUCUGAACCAGCCAAGUAGCGUGAAGGAUGACUGCCCUAUGGGUUGUAAACCUCUUUUAUAAGGGAAUAAAGUGCGGGACGUGUCCCGUUUUGUAUGUACCUUAUGAAUAAGGAUCGGCUAACUCCGUGCCAGCAGCCGCGGUAAUACGGAGGAUCCGAGCGUUAUCCGGAUUUAUUGGGUUUAAAGGGUGCGUAGGCGGCCUUUUAAGUCAGCGGUGAAAGUCUGUGGCUCAACCAUAGAAUUGCCGUUGAAACUGGGAGGCUUGAGUAUGUUUGAGGCAGGCGGAAUGCGUGGUGUAGCGGUGAAAUGCUUAGAUAUCACGCAGAACCCCGAUUGCGAAGGCAGCCUGCCAAGCCAUGACUGACGCUGAUGCACGAAAGCGUGGGGAUCAAACAGGAUUAGAUACCCGAGUAGUC